rnacentral:tRNA from 1 species
GGGGAUUAGCUCAGCUGGCUAGAGCGCCUGCCUUGCACGCAGGAGGUCAUCGGUUCGACUCCGAUAUUCUC